GGAAAAGUAAGCUAAAUCAAGCUAAUGGGUUCAUACCCCAUUUAUAGAGGGAGAUCCUCUCUUCUCUA
rnacentral:tRNA from 1 species